GAUGAAGAACGCAGCGAAAUGCGAUAAGUAAUGUGAAUUGCAGAAUUCAGUGAAUCAUCGAAUCUUUGAACGCACCUUGCGCCCUUUGGCCAUUCCGAAGGGCAUGCCUGUUUGAGUAUCAUGAACACCUCAACUCUUCAUGGUUUUCCGUGAUGAGCUUGGACUUUGGGGGUCUUGCUGGCCUAUGGUCAGCUCCUCUAAAAUAAAUCAGCUUGCCAGUGUUUGGUGGGUAUCACAGGUGUGAUAACUAUCUACGCUUGUGGUUUUCCACCAGGUAACCUUCAGCAGUGGAGGUUCGCUGGAGCUCACAGAUGUGUCUCUCCUCAGUGAGGACAGCUCUUUGAAUGUUUGAUCUCAAAUCAGGUAGGACUACCCGCUGAACUUAAGCAUAUCAAUAAGCGGA
rnacentral:misc_RNA from 1 species